AAGACUAUAGACCUGCGGAGUACCUGCGGAAGGAUCAUUAUUGAAUAUGCUUGAUGGGUUGUCGCUGGCCUCUUGGGGCAUGUGCACGCCUUUCUUGAUUCUAUUCAUCCACCUGUGCACCUAUUGUAGUUCUCUGGUUUCUGUUUCUAAAGGUCAAGGAAAGCGGCUUCACUCGGUCUAAGUAUAGACCGGAUUUGGGACUUGCCUUUGGGCUCUUCUCUCUGAGUCGUGGAACGACGU
rnacentral:misc_RNA from 1 species